ACAAUUUCCAUUUAUUUUGUUAAUAAUUGGAUAAAAAAUGUACAUUUAGGGUAUACAAUACAGUUGCAGGGGAGAUAAUGAUGUUGCUAACAUAAAAUGUUUAUUGUUAUUACCAGGAAAAGAUGAAUUUUUCAAAGAAUUUUUAUUAUUAGCAUGUAAAAUUAUAUUUUUCGUGGCGUCAAACUGCAACAUAUCCAGAGAAGAUGAUUUAUUUAAGGGAUAUAUAUAUUUGAAUAAUUAACUUGAAAAUGAGCACAAUCAUGGACCCACUGACUAAAAAUUUCAUUUGAUUUGAUACUGUAUGGAGAUUUUUAUUUCCAAAUCUUAUGCCUUCAUAACACCACUGACGAACUAAGUUGAUAGUUUAUAUAUGAAUAAGAUAAUGGACACAUGAAAAAGAUUUCUAUUUAAAUAGCAAUAUUAGAACCUGAAAGAGUACUAUUUUAUAGGGAGACUUGUACAAUGAAGAGCAAGAUUUUUUUUAUUCAAUGGGAGAUAACUCAUUUUAAAAAUAUGUAAAUAAUUUGUCUUUUUGAACAAUAAAAUAUGUUUAAACCAUUAAUUUGUGGAGUUGAAAUUCAAAUCAUAAACUUAUAAGACUUUUUUUAUAUAUUUUUUUAUCUUUUAUUUUAAUUUUACAGUUGUAGAUGUUAUAUUCAAUUGUGUACAUGCAGUAAGAAAUCAGAACUAUAUUUGGUAAAUAAUGUAGUAUUCUUAUAUUUUAGGUUCUUUCUGUGAGAUAUUUUCAUGGUGUGGGAAUAAGACUUGGAGGUCUAAUGAAGCUAAUAUGUUGGUUAGCAUCACAGCUUGUCUGUAUGGAUUGAAGCUGGGAGUGGGCAUUGGAGCUGACAUUUAUGGUAACUUCAACUGUGGCUGCAUGAAAUUAUUGUGCUAUAUAUCAAAGAAUGUAAUUCAGACAAUUUUUGAGUGUUUGAAAAAUGUAAAACAAAUUAAAAAA